AAACGACACCAUGACAGUGCUACAGUGCUGACGAAUACAAUGUAACUGUAACACAAAUCCUGGAGGCGGACGACAUCCUUCAGGAGUGUAAAGCGGACAACAAAGAUCUAAUACGAUUGUAAAUAUCUAAAUUUGUAAUAAUUAAAUUUAUAUAAAAUA